GAUGAACGCUGGCGGCGUGCCUAAUACAUGCAAGUCGAGCGAACAGACGAGGAGCUUGCUCCUCUGACGUUAGCGGCGGACGGGUGAGUAACACGUGUAUAACCCACCUAUAAGACUGGGAUAACUUCGGGAAACCGGAGCUAAUACCGGAUAAUAUAUUGAACCGCAUGGUUCAAUAGUGAAAGACGGUUUUGCUGUCACUUAUAGAUGGAUCCGCGCCGCAUUAGCGAGUUGGUAAGGUAACGGCUUACCAAGGCAACGAUGCGUAGCCGACCUGAGAGGGUGAGCGGCCACUCAGAAACUGAGACACGGUACAGGCACCGACGGGAGGCAGCAGUAGCGAAUCUACCGCAAUGGGCGAAAGCCUGACGGAGCAGCGCCGCGUGAGUGAAGCAGGUCUUCGGAUCGUAAAACUCUGUUAUUAGGGAAGAACAAAUGUGUAAGUAACGAUGCGCGUGUUGACGGUACCUAAUAAGAAAGCCACGGCUAACUACGU
rnacentral:rRNA from 1 species